CACGUAGGGCGCAAGCGUUGUCCGGAAUUAUUGGGCGUAAAGCGCGCGCAGGCGGUUUCUUAAGUCUGAUGUGAAAGCCCACGGCUUAACCGUGGAAGGUCAUUGGAAACUGGGAGACUUGAGUGCAGAAGAGAAGAGCGGAAUUCCACGUGUAGCGGUGAAAUGCGUAGAGAUGUGGAGGAACACCAGUGGCGAAGGCGGCUCUUUGGUCUGUAACUGACGCUGAGGCGCGAAAGCGUGGGGAUCAAACAGG
rnacentral:rRNA from 1 species